CGACCGGCUUCCUUCAUUUUUCCGACAUCACAAUGAAUCUGACAUUUUACUGCUUCACCCCCGUGGCCCAUGGCUCAUCACCCACUCAUGUAGGAUGGCAGCAUUAGAGAGCCUGAGAACCACUGUCUUAAAGGAGCAAGGGCCUUGGUGCUCCACAGCAUGCCCUGGUGCUCUUCCAGGGUCUUGAGGGCCCUUCCCUUGGGACCUGUUAUUGGACGGAACCUACUCUCCUGUGAGUUGGAGCUGGACUGGCUUCUUGCUGACAAGAUGAAGCAGAAGAAACAUACAGGUGCAGGUGUUAAAAUCACAGUAAUUAGCUGGAUGUGGUGGCAAGCAGAGGCAGGAGGGUCAAGAGUUCCAGGCAAGGCUGGACUAUGUUUCAAGACCAAGACCAACUAAAACCAACCAACCAACCAACCAACCAAUCAACCAACCAACCAACCAACCAGGGUCCUGCCCAGCAUGGUGGAGUGUGGGGAACAAACGAAAUCCUGAAUGAAUGUGUCAUUGACACAAGCACAGCCAUGUCAAGGACCCCAGAGCCUCAGAGCCAUGGAAAUGGCAAAGCCUUCUCUGGGUGAGGCUCAGAGGGACAGCAAGGGCUUCUCCAGGACCAAGUACAAACCAGGAUGAGUACUGUGGUGUUUUCAAACCAGUGCUUCCAGCAAUGGUCACCCUCAGCCUCUGCUUCUGCCUCCCAGAUGUUGAUAGCCUGAGACUGUUGGCCUAUGGAGCCCCUGCUGCCUCCUUUGCAGUGGUCCACAAACAAUACACCUGCCUCCUGCUGGCUCACCUGCUGCUGGUACUCUCCAUUAGAGUGCUUAGUCCACCUAAUUCCAGCACCCCCCUCCCCCCCGUGUGUGUGCCUGUCUCUCUGCCUAUCCUUGUCUCACUUCCUCAUUGCCCAAGUCAGGUGCCCAGGACACAGCCUCUGAGGUCACUGCAGUGGAAUGGUUCAUAAUCCCAGUAGGGAGAUAGAACUGAGAGCUCAGGACAAGACAUGGCCUCCUGUGGUGCUGCAUGCCUGUAAUCCCGGCACGUGGGGAAGUUGAGAGAGGAGAAGAGAGCGUUCAAGACCAGCCUAGACUGCACAAGUCUCAAAAGGAAAAAGAAAAAAAACAAAAUCAAGAAGCCAUCACCAGCCAUGCCUGGCAUUCGCUCCUCAACCACCAGACAGCCUGGUAGGCUGCAGGAUCUGUUUGAGAAAAAGGGAAACGCUUACGGAAGUUCAAUAAAUGAAUGACUCAAUUAAUGGAAACUGAUGGAUGCCAUUAAUUAGUCUGAAUUAGUUAGUUUUACAAAAAAAGA